rnacentral:snRNA from 1 species
AGCUCUGUGCAGUGGCAUUAUCGUAGCCAAUGAGGUUUAUCUGAGGCACAAUUAUUGCUAAUUAAAAAGAGGUGUGUGCCUGUAGGCCCUGCUACUCAGAAAGCUGAAGCAGGAGGACUGCCUGAGCUCAGG